rnacentral:lncRNA from 1 species
CUACAGGCUGUCCCUAAUUUUCCCUGAAUUUUUUUCGGGGAACUGAAAUGCACUACUGGUGCCUGCACGUGUCCCAAAAAAUCCCAUAUUAGACCCAGGGCCCCUUUCGGCCAAUAUCGCAAUUCCAGCACGGCGGCGGCGAUUCGCCUCGGGUUGGCCGUUUUCAGCCGAAUUCGGCCACACUUGCAUCGGUCCCUACGAUAAAAAAACCCUAGGGCCCUCGGGGGGUCAAAAAAUUACGAAAAACCGAAGCUUACCGGCAGCGGUGCUCUCGGGUGCGGCGACUCUCCGACGAGGUUCGUGUUUUGGUGAUUUGGCUCCGAUCAACCUGUAGAGAAAAGAAUGGUGAUCACGGUGAUAUAAAAAUUGUAUCAAACGGAGGCCGGGAAGGGCCUCAUCGGAGGCAAAAAUCGAAGAGGAGUGCGACGAUGCAUCUGGGUUUCGGCUGUGUUUUUCGGCCGUUUGGCCGGGAGUUUGGCUGCGAUUCGGCCACAGGGGAACUCAACAUUGAAAAACGAGCUGAGGGUAUGAAAUUUACCUUGAUCGGCGAUCGAAAAACUCCCCGGUGCGGCGGCGGGUGGCGGCGGCCGGCUCCUCCGGCGUCUGGUUCGUCUUCUCCGGCGAGGGCUGGCGGCUAGGGUUUUUGUGGUCAGGUGUGGGGGGUUUAUUUAUACCCUUUGUCUUUUAAUCACAGCCGUCCAUCUUAAUUUAAUCUGGACCGUUCGAUCGCCAUUUAAUUUGGAUUAAAUCUGGGCCGUUCGAUGGCGAUUUAAUUUGGAUUAGAUCUGGGUCAUCCGUGCACGUGCAUCUGGGCCGUUCGUGC